CUCUGAAUGCAAGGAGAUGGGUGGGGCUAAAGCUUAAGAGGGUGUGAACAAUGUUGAACGGGUGUAGACAAAGAAGUGCUCUCCCACAGAAACACUAAAUUGCCAUCUUCUCAAAAGUGAUUUUACAAGUUUAUCAACUUUCAAAGCAGAAUAACAUUCCCAUUGUACCUCAAAUGCAGUGUAUGAUAUACCCUUUUGUAGCUGAGUCUCUACUUUUAUCCAAUGUAAAAAACUGAAAUUCUAAUUUCGCUACGUAAGACCGAAUCCAUGUGGUGAGUCACAUAUUUGUAAGUACGGUGUCCAGUAGAGGUCGCUGGGCUCACAAUUGGCCCAGCGCUGUCCGGGUUUGGCCGAUGUAGGCCGUCAUUGUAAAUAAGAAUAUGUUCUUAAUUGACUUGCCUAGGUAAACAAAGGUUACAUUUAAAAAUAUAUAUAAAAUAAAGACAUACUUCUGAUAAAGUGAUACAUGCAUCGCCACACUACUUCAAUGUUUUGAUGCAUGCCUUGGAGCUCCAGUAUCAAAAGUAACAUCACUAGUGCUUAUAGUGUCCAUUUUGUCUCUUCAGUUAAGGAUGUUUUAUGGAAAAGAAAUAGGGGGGAAAAAUAUAAAAGUUAGGAAAAUUCAAGAAAGUAGAUAGUGGUGAAUGAGUUUUUGAUGUUUGUGUUAAGACACUAUCCAGGAUACACUUCCACACUCUAUCCCCAGAUGGCAGCAACUGGAUCUAGGUGCUGAGCUUAGCCUUUAUAAGCACAUCAGCUGCAGCCAAUUAGGGUGAUCAUCAGUCCCAGCUGGAAUAGCUGUUGGUUUUGUUUGGGUAUGCCCUUUUCUACAUAUUUAUGUUUUGUCAUCAUCUGAACAAAUAAUAGUCUGCUUGGACUGGCUUACCAAGAGGUCAACAAGGAGCUGGCCCUGGACAUAAGGAAUGGCUGAACAAACCAGAGCUUGAGUCUGGGUCCGCUCCUGAUUUCUGGGCCACAGAAGCAACCUGGGUUGGUAUUGCCUGAGAGGGUACAGUCUGCCCUUGGAUCUUCCUCAAGGAGCGGAGACACUCCCCCACCAUGCCCCUCACACACUAUGCUGCUGUCCAGUCAGCUCUGCAUCCCUCCCAGCAUGAACUGCACCAGCUCUGACAGGAGAAAGGACACGAGGGUUGUGAUUAUUAAGCACCAAACAGAAGAAAACUGACUUCAACAAGGCGGGACUACAUGGACACUUCCUAUAACAAAACGCUCAGUAUUCAUAGGCUUUUUUUUUGGGGGGGGUUUAUGAAUACAACCCAGAGGUGGACAGGUCAAAGUAGUGUGAACAGCUCACCGUGUGACAAUACUGUACCUGAGCGUA